GAAAAAAUUUCUUUUUUAUAGGAAAGGAAACAUUUCAAGAAGGCUGAGAGGAACACAGAUAUAAUUAUUCGAGGGAGGACAAUUAUACCUAGGCAUAACUAAUCUGAGCUUUGUACCUGAACAUGAAAAAGAUUGCAGAGUAAUCCAGAAAGAAUUCCAUAAUCAUUCUCCAUUAACAGAAAACAGAAGAGGUUGCAGAGUGUGCAUUCCUUCUCUGAUA